rnacentral:rRNA from 1 species
GACGAACCGUGCGAACGUUGUUCGGAAUCACUGGGCUUAAAGGGCGCGUAGGCGGCCGAUCAAGUCGGGGGUGAAAGCCUGUGGCUCAACCACAGAAUUGCCUUCGAUACUGUUUGGCUUGAGACCGGAAGAGGUAAGUGGAACUGCGAGUGUAGAGGUGAAAUUCGUAGAUAUUCGCAAGAACACCAGUGGCGAAGGCGGCUUACUGGUCCGGUUCUGACGCUGAGGCGCGAAAGCGUGGGGAGCAAACAGG